UACGUAGGGGGCGAGCGUUGUCCGGAUUUAUUGGGCGUAAAGCGCGCGUAGGCGGUGCGGUAAGUCGGCCGUGAAAUCUCCAGGCUCAACUUGGAGGGGUCGGGCGAGACUGCCGCGCUAGAGGUGGGCAGAGGCCGGUGGAAUUCCGGGUGUAGUGGUGGAAUGCGUAGAGAUCCGGAGGAACACCAGUGGCGAAGGCGGCCGGCUGGGCCUGGCCUGACGCUGAGGCGCGAAAGCGUGGGGAGCGAUCCGG
rnacentral:rRNA from 1 species